ensembl:lncRNA
CAGGAGUCCUCUAGCUAUAGAAUCACCCCUGGAGAUAACAGGAGAUAUCAGGAGUCCUCUAGCUAUAGAAUCACCCCUGGAGAUAACAGGAGUCCUCUAGCUAUAGAAUCACCCCUGGAGAUAACAAGAGAUAUCAGGAGUCCUUUAGCUAUAGAAUCACCCCUGGAGAUAACAGGAGAUAUCAGGAGUCCUCUAGCUAUAGAAUCACCCCUGGAGAUAACAGGAGUCCUCUAGCUAUAGAAUCACCCCUGGAGAUAUCAGGAGAUAACAGGAGUCCUCUAGCUAUAGCAUCACCCCUGCAGAUAACAGGAGUCCUCUAGCUAUAGAAUCACCCCUGGAGAUAACAGGAGUCCUCUAGCUAUAGAAUCACCCCUGGAGAUAACAGGAGUCCUUUAGUUAUAGAAUCACCCCUGGAAAUAACAGGAGUCCUCUAGCUAUAGAAUCACCCCUGGAGAUAACAAGAGAUAACAGGAGUCCUCUAGCUAUAGAAUCACCCCUGGAGAUAACAGGAGUCCUCUAGCUAUAGAAUCACCCCUGGAGAUAACAGGAGUCCUUUAGUUGUAGAAUAACCCCUGGAGAUAAAAGGAGUCCUCUAGCUAUAGAAUCACCCCUGAAGAUAACAGGAUUCCUCUAGCUAUAUAAUCACCCCUGAAGAUAACAGGAGUCCUUUAGUUAUAGAAUCACCCCUGGAGAUAAAAGGAGAUAACAGGAGUCCUCUAGCUAUAGAAUCACCCCUGGAGAUAACAGGAGAUAACAGGAGUCCCUUAGCUAUAGCAUCACCCCUGCAGAAAACAGGAGUCCUCUAGCUAUAGAAUCACCCCUGGAGAUAACAGGAGUCCUCUAGCUAUAGAAUCACCCCUGGAGAUAACAAGAGAUAACAGGAGUCCUCUAGCUAUAGAAUCACCCCUAGAGAUAACAGGAGUCCUCUAGCUAUAGAAUCACCCCUGGAGAUAACAGGAGUCCUUUAGUUAUAGAAUCACCCCUGGAGAUAAAAGGAGUCCUCUAGCUAUAGAAUCACCCCUGAAGAUAACAGGAUUCCUCUAGCUAUAGAAUCACCCCUGGAGAUAACAGGAGUCCUCUAGCUAUAGAAUCACCCCUGGAGAUAACAGGAGUCCUCUAGCUAUAGAUUCACCCCUGGAGAAAACAGGAGUCCUCUAGCUAUAGAAUCACCCCUGGAGAUAUCAGGAGAUAACAGGAGUCCUCUAGCUAUAGCAUCACCCCUGCAGAUAACAGGAGUCCUCUAGCUAUAUAAUCACCCCUGCAGAUAACAGGAGUCCUCUAGCUAUAGAAUCACCCCUGGAGAUAACAGGAGUCCUCUAGCUAUAGAAUCACCCCUGGAGAUAACAGGAGUCCUCUAGCUAUAGAAUCACCCCUGGAGAUAACAGGAGUCCUCUAGCUAUAGAAUCACCCCUGGAGAUAACAGGAGAUAUCAGGAGUCCUCUAGCUAUAGAAUCACCCCUGGAGAUAACAAGAGAUAUCAGGAGUCCUCUAGCUAUAGAAUCACCCCUGGAGAUAACAGGAGUCCUCUAGCUAUAGAAUCACCCCUGGAGAUAACAGGAUUCCUCUAGCUAUAGAAUCACCCCUGGAGAUAACAGGAGUCUAGCUAGAGAAUCACCCCUGGAGAUAACAGGAGUCCUCUAGCUAUAGAAUCACCCCUGAAGAUAACAGGAAUCCUCUAGCUAUAGAAUCACCCCUGGAGAUAUCAGGAGUCCUCUAGCUAUAGAUCCACCCCUGGAGAUAACAGGAGUCCUCUAGCUAUAGAAUCACCCCUGGAGAUAACAGGAGUCUUCUAGCUAUAGAUUCACCCCUGGAGAUAACAGGAGUCCUCUAGCUAUAGAAUCACCCCUGGAGAUAACAGGAGUCCUCUAGCUAUAGAAUCACCCCUGGAGAUAACAGGAGAUAACAGGAGUCCUCUAGCUAUAGAAUCACCCCUGGAGAUAACAGGAGAUAUCAGGAGUCCUCUAGCUAUAGAAUCACCCCUGGAGAUAACAGGAGUCCUCUAGCUAUAGAAUCACCCCUGGAGAUAACAGGAUUCCUCUAGCUGUAGAAUCACCCCAGGAGAUAACAGGACUCUAGCUAGAGAAUCACCCCUGGAGAUAACAGGAGUCCUCUAGCUAUAGAAUCACCCUGGAGAUAACAGGAGAUAUCAGGAGUCCUCUAGCUAUAGAAUCACCCCUGCAGAUAACAGGAGUCCUCUAGCUAUAGAAUCACCCCUGCAGAUAACAGGAGUCCUCUAGCUAUAGAAUCACCCCUGGAAAUAACAGGAGUCCUCUAGCUAAAUAAUCACCCCUGGAGAUAACAAGAGAUAUCAGGAGUCCUCUAGCUAUAGAAUCACCCCUGGAGAUAACAGGAGAUAGCAGGAGUCCUCUAGCUAUAGAAUCACCCCUGGAGAUAACAGGAGUCCUUUAGUUAUAGAAUCACCCCUGGAAAUAACAGGAGUCCUCUAGCUAUAGAAUCACCCCUGGAGAUAACAAGAGAUAUCAGGAGUCCUCUAGCUAUAGAAUCACCCCUGGAGAUAACAGGAGAUAUCAGGAGUCCUCUAGCUAUAGAAUCACCCCUGGAGAUAACAGGAGUCCUUUAGUUAUAGAAUCACCCCUGGAGAUAAAAGGAGUCCUCUAGCUAUAGAAUCACCCCUGAAGAUAACAGGAUUCCUCUAGCUAUAGAAUCACCCCUGGAGAUAUCAGGAGUCCUCUAGCUAUAGAUCCACCCCUGGAGAUAACAGGAGUCUUCUAGCUAUAGAUUCACCCCUGGAGAUAACAGGAGUCCUCUAGCUAUAGAAUCACCCCUGGAGAUAUCAGGAGUCCUCUAGCUAUAGAAUCACCCCUGGAGAUAACAGGAGUCCUCUAGCUAUAGAAUCACCCCUGGAGAUAACAGGAGUCCUCUAGCU